GGUGAACGUUGGCGGCGCGUCUAAUACAUGCAAGUCGAGCGAGGCUUCGAGCCGAGCGGCGGACGGCUGAGAAACACGUUGGUAGCUACCCCGUACUCAGGGAUAACACUGAGAAAUCAGUGCUAAUACCGGAUGGUCCCGAAAGGGUAAAGAUUUAUCGGUACGGGAGGUGCCUGCGGCCUAUCAGCUAGUUGGUGAGGUAAUGGCUCACCAAGGCUAUGACGGGUAACUGGUCUGAGAGGACGACCAGUCAGAGGGAAACUGAGACACGGUUCCCACUCCUACGGGAGGCAGCAGUAAAGAAUCUUCCGCAAUGGACGCAAGUCUGACGGAGCGACGCCGCGUGCAGGAUGAAGGCCUUCGGUCGUAACUAGCUUUUCUUGAGGGAAGUAAUU
rnacentral:rRNA from 1 species